UUAUAUGGAGAGUUUGAUCCUGGCUCAGGACGAACGCUGGCGGCGUGCCUAAUACAUGCAAGUCGAGCGGACGGAUGGGAGCUUGCUCCCAGACCGUCAGCGGCGGACGGGUGAGUAACACGUGGGCAACCUGCCUGUAAGACUGGGAUAACUCCGGGAAACCGGGGCUAAUACCGGAUAACUCUUUUCCCCACAUGAGGAAAAGCUGAAAGAUGGCAUCUCGCUAUCACUUACAGAUGGGCCCGCGGCGCAUUAGCUAGUUGGUGAGGUAACG
rnacentral:rRNA from 1 species